CAUGCCAAAUGGAUAAAAACGGAGCAAAUACGAAUCCGAUAAAAAUGUUAGUCAGAAUCGCAUAUUUUCACCGUUAAGGAACUUUAGUUGUAGAUGAAUUUCACUUCAACAAACUGCUCACAUAUUCAUAAUUAUUAUUAAGUAGGAAUAAAUCUUAGCUGAGCUAUGACAAUUUCGUGAUUAAUUGCUUUUCUUUUGUUAUGCACUGUUUUAAUUAGGCACAGAGGUGAAAAUAUGCGACUCUGACUAACAUUUUUUAUCGGACUCGUAAUUGCUGAUUUUUUCUCCACUUGGCAUG